rnacentral:RNase_P_RNA from 18 species
CCAGCCGGUCGGACGGCCGCACGCGCAAGCGCCGAAAGGCCGCGCGUGAGGAAAGUCCGGGCUCCACGGAAAUACGGUGCCGGGUAACACCCGGCGGGGGUAACCCUAGGGAAAGUGCCACAGAAAGCAGACCGCCCCGCCGGUAAAUCAGCCUUUGAAGCCGGCCUCGGUUCGAAGGCCGAUUUACAGGCGGGGUAAGGGUGAAAGGGUGGGGUAAGGGCCCACCGCGUUUCUGGCAACAGGAACGGCACGGUAAACCCCACCGGGAGCAAGACCGAAUAGGAACGGCGCGAAGGGCAACCUUCAGGGCAUUUCCGGCCCGGCCGUUCGGGUAGGUUGCUUGAGGCCGGCGGCGACGCCGGUCCCAGAGGAAUGGCCGUCACGUCGCGCCGUCUCGGCGGCGCGGCCAUACAGAACCCGGCUUACAGACCGGCUGGUAUU